rnacentral:lncRNA from 1 species
GUUGAAGAGCUGGUGUGAAACUUCACACUUCCUGCAUGCAAAAAAAAUGUUGCAUCAGAAGUCAGCGAUGGUUCCACAGACAACAAGGGAAGAAAAUAGUUGUUAAUGAGUGGCUGCUAAGGGAAGAGUUUGGCUUUGCAAUGUCCAGCUAUCAUGACAGAUAUGGUAUAACUGCAGGUGUAGCAGUUCUUAAGGGAAGAGAGGUGGGCCACACUGUUUUUAUCAUCAGCUUCUUUCUAUAAAAGCACUACUAAUGGAACAGAACACUGAAGUGACAAUAUAGAAGAGGACUUUCUUGUCUGGUGCUGCAGAGGAAGAUCUACCUUUCUGCCCUGAAUUCUACUAGGCGUUCUACACUUUUGGUCAGAAACAAGAAACUUUCAGGGGUGGGAUGCUGAGGAAGAUUUGUUUUAUUUAAAUAACCUCGAGUUGCUGAAGAAAUCCGGGAAGAUCCUGCUUGAAAGAGAACGUUGUAAAGGGGAGCUUUAAAUCAUGGGAAAUCAUGCACAACAAAUUUCUUUACCAUUGACUCUGGAUUUUGCCACCCUGAAAUCUCCUCAAGCCAAGAGAGGGAACCUGAAAAAGACCACCUAUAGGAACACUUGCACCCUGCCCCUGACCUGGACAUCUUCAACUAUGAAGAAGCUAUUCCUGGCUGCUUCUUGUUUUAGGCUUGAAAACUUCAAGGAUGGGAACUAUGCAGUGUCCUUGGAUAACCUGCUCCAGUGUUCCACCAGCCACAUCUUUUGGAGGCAGCCUUUUUUCUAAAUUCCACUUUGAACCUCCCAAACCUUGAUUUGUGGCUGUGACAGAUCCCUCUUACUAUAUUCAGUGCCUCUUGCCUGAAAAAAAUCUUAGUCUAGGCUCAUCAGCCUUGAUGAAAGGAAAACAGGAAAUCUAGGUUCUGAUGCCUAUCUAAAUUGUAUCCUUUGAUCUGGAGUCUCCACUACUAAAAGUUUUAAUUUCUAGACUUGUAAAUGUUCUGAAAUAAGUUUUUGUCUAACACUGGUUUUUAAAAAAUACUUCUAUAUAUGAAAUUGGUUUUUUCUGUACCUGGCAAUUUUCAGCUGUUCUGGUUUAUGUUCUAAUUUAGAAAUAGCUGCAAAAAAAUAGAAGUAAACAUGAGAUUUAGCAUUCCCUGUUGUGUUUUUCCUUUCCUACUUUAUUCACCAGAAUGUACUAUGUAGAUUGCGGUAGUAAGGAUGAUUUCCUGGAAGCUACUUUUGGAACAUUUUGAAGGUGAUCCUCCUUAGUGCCAAGAGAAGCAAAGUGGUUCUGUGUUGAAAUGUUGAGUGAUUAUAAUAAAAAAAUAAAUCCAGUGUAACUAAAUGUCAGCUUUGUGCAAAUAACAUAAGUAACUUAACGACUCAAAUUCAGAGUUCUUAAUAAGUAAAGAUUUCUAACUCUUCCAUAUUUUAUCUAUUAUAUUAUUGCAUUGUGCUAUUUAAGACAGCAGUGUUCUGUUAUUUUUCUACUAGUCUGACACCUAAUGUGCUUUCCUUUGGGUUGGUAGAAAAAGAUGAUUUUUAUGGCAAUUCACACUUAAAAGAAGAAAAGCUGUCCUUCAUUUUAAUGACUAUUGAGCCAUAUUAUAGAUAUAUUAUGCCUUUUUUAGUUAAACAGAAGAUUUUGAGUUUCCUCUAAUGACACUAGAGACUAAACUCCUCUGUAGAAAGAAGUUUCAGUAAAGUAUCGUGUGGCUUCCAUUUUAGUCUGUAGUUUUCAGAAAGGGUGUUAAUUUUUAUUUUUGCAAUACAAAUAGAAUGCCAGUGCAAUGUUCUUGGUGCUGGCAAAAACUGAUGCUGCCCUUGAAGUACUACACGUGAUCAGUAGAGAGGAAGUACUACCCACGCAUGCAGGGCAAAAAGUUUAAAGCAACUUUUUUGUCAAUAGGAAAAAUGGGUGUCCUCAGAAAUAUGCAUAAGCAAUUUCAUCUGUGAGCUGUAAAAGAACUGAUCAUAGCAACAGGCAUGCGUUAAGGGUUGUAUUUACACUGCGAAAUUUUGGCUUAAAAACUGCAUAAUAAAUGUUGAGGAAGUGGUUUGUGUUCAGCAGCAUGCUAGUGCAGUGAUGCAUCUCCAGAAAAAUGCUGUAGAAAGCAGAGUGUGUCUUUAACUUGAG